rnacentral:tRNA from 1 species
UGGGAUGUAGCUCAGUGGUAGAGCACUUGCCUAGUGUGUAUGAGGACCUGGGCUUGAUCCUCAGCACUGUAA